rnacentral:rRNA from 1 species
UACAGAGGUCUCAAGCGUUGUUCGGAUUCAUUGGGCGUAAAGGGUGCGUAGGUGGCGCUGUAAGUCGGGUGUGAAAUUUCGGAGCUUAACCCCGAAACUGCAUUCGAUACUGCGGUGCUUGAGGACUGGAGAGGAGACUGGAAUUCAUGGUGUAGCAGUGAAAUGCGUAGAGAUCAUGAGGAAGACCAGAGGCGAAGGCGGGGCUCUGGGCAGUACCUGACACUGAGGCGCGAAGGCCAGGGGAGCAAACGGG